UGUUAUCAUAAAAUAUAAGUUAAAAGCUGUAUUUUUUUUCCAUUUGAGAGUGGUUUAUUUAUCAUUGUAUGGCAGAAUAUUUCUUUGUGAUAAGUAUUACAUAGGUUAUAUUUUGGAAAACUCUAAGUAAGUAACUUAUUCCGGUGAGUGUCAACUUGAUUGGAUUGAACGAUGCAAAGUAUUGAUCCUUGGUGUGUCUGUGAGGGUGUUGCCAAAGAGGUUAACAUUUGAGUCAGAGGGCUGGUAAAGGCAGACCCACCGAUAGAUAGAUAGAUGAUUCUUAGAUAAGUGAUAGAAAAUAUAAAUGUAGAUACAGAUAGCAGGUAAAAUUUAUGUUUUAAAGGAAAGGGUUUGUUUUAAGCAUU
rnacentral:lncRNA from 1 species